UACGGAGGGUGCAAGCGUUAUCCGGAUUCACUGGGUUUAAAGGGUGCGUAGGUGGGUUGGUAAGUCAGUGGUGAAAUCCCCGAGCUUAACUUGGGAACUGCCAUUGAUACUAUCAGUCUUGAAUACCGUGGAGGUUAGCGGAAUAUGUCAUGUAGCGGUGAAAUGCUUAGAUAUGACAUAGAACACCAAUUGCGAAGGCAGCUGGCUACACGAAUAUUGACACUGAUGCACGAAAGCGUGGGGAUCAAACAGG
rnacentral:rRNA from 1 species